AAGUGUGGCCUCAUGUGAACUGGGACAUUUCGCAACCCUGGAGGAAAGACCGAGACCGAGAGCGAGGAGCCGACUGCCGAGGCCGCGAGGACAAGUCCGACAAGAUGGCGAGGAGACACGCGGAGAUUGUCAUUCCUCAAUGGCAGCAGAAGAUGCACACUGCAAAGCUGUGCUGAUCAUCCCACUGGAUCUUGUACAAAAAAAAAAAAAAAAAAAAAAAAAAACAUCCAGCUACCAGCAAAGUACACUUGGCCAACCCACUUAGUGCAUGGUGUCUCAAUGGGAAGAUUUCAAAGUGUAAAAGGAAGGCAACAUGAAAAGAAGACAAGAUAUGUAUACCUGUUGGUUGCAUCUUGUUCAGAGGAAUCUCAACACAACAAUGCCAAUCAUCAAAUACAGACAAGAAAUGACUAUUCACUGUGACCUUACCAUGUCCAACAGAACUCCCUGGACUGUAACCUCAAUUUGAGCUGCACUAUGGCCCUAGAGGAGGAGGAGGAGAUUGAAAACUGAGGUCACACAUGCUUGCUUUCUUAUGGAGGAUUGAUGCAGGAGAGUGAAGAAAGUGUAAGGAAGUUUAGGUCACCACACUCCUGCAAUGACAACUGAUUCCCACUGCAGCCCACCACCCACUUCCAGCCUGGGGAGUGAGGAAGGAUCAGGUGAUCAGUACCAAGUAGUGGUUAACAAGCCAGCUGGAGUUGGUACUUUACUAGAAAAGAGAUGGAGUGGUAGGUGAAUGCUGCCUUGACUGAUCUGGGCUUGUGUCAUCACAGAAGAGGAGGAACCCAGCUGUCUACAAGAAUAAGUGGAAGAAGAGGAGGAACCCAGCUAUCUAAGUGGAAUCUGACAAGAGAAGUAGGUGACCUUUGUCAUCACAGCUGUGGAAGAUGGAGCUGUAGAUUAACUGAACCACACACACGUCAACCCUUUGUCCAUGCCUGAACCUGUCUUGGUCCAGGAAGCUGUUGCCCUUCUUCAGAGUGAGCCAGCCAGUCCAUCUUUAUCUUUAUCAUCAUCUUCAGUAGUUUCUUGCAGAUCCCUGGUUUGUAUCUCUUCUGACUAUCUUAUGCUGUACUCCUUGACUAAUAGCCACACUUGCCCUCAGCUGCCUGGACUGCUUCUACCAACUC